AGAGGAAAAAUAUAUCUUACCUAUGGAGGAGAAAAGAUAAGAAUUACAUCUGACUUCUCCUCAAAACCCAUGAAAGCAAGAAGAGAGGGAUGUGAAAUAUUUAAGCAUUGAGAGAAGAAACCAAUUUAGAAUUCUGUACCUUGUUAGAUUAUCCUUCAAAAGGGAAGGGUAAUCUUUCACAAAGCAAAAUUUGUUACCAGUACACCUACCUCCAAGAAAUGUUAAUUGAAACUCUUUAGAGAGAAGGAAAAUAAUAUAGAUCAGAAAAAUAUCUUCAUAAAGGGAUAGCAUCAAAGAAGGAUUAGUGAAGAUGAAGUAAAAAUUUUAUUAUUUUUAAUUGACCUGACAGAUAACAGUUUGUUCAAAACAAUAAAAACAACAGUGCUAUUUGAUUAACAAUGUAGUUGAUUAUGCUUAUGUGUAUAUCAUACACACACAUGCUUUUAAGUGAAAUGAAUGAGAGCAAUGAUACAAGGGAUGGGAGAGAGGAAGUAGAAUUACUGUUAAUAAAAAGUACACUAUUGGCAAAGCAGUGUUGUAUUAUUUGAAAGUAGACUUGGAUUAUUUGUAAAUGUAUACUGCAAACUCUAGGACAACCACUAAAAAAAGUGAAAAAGUAUAACUUUAUGCUAAGAAAAGAGAAAAUGGAAUUAUAUAAAAUGCUGAAUUAAAACCACAAAAGGCAGAAACAGAAUGGAAGACAAAAAUAAGAACAAAGGCAACAUAUAGAAAAUUGUAACAAAUAUGGUAGAUAUUAGUCCAACCAUAUCAAUAAUCACUUUCAAUGGCAAUGGUAUAAAUACACAAAAGACCAGAUAUUGUCAGAGUGGAUCAAAAAACAACCCAACUAUAUGUUGUCUACAAUAAGCCCACUUUAUUUUUUAUUGAAGUAUAAUUGACAUACAAUGUAUCAGUUUCAGGUGUACAACAUAGCAAUUUGACAUUUAUAUACAUUACAAAAUGAUUAUAAGUCUAGUUACCAUCUGUCACUAUAUAAAGUUAUGGUAGUAUUAUUGACUAUAUUUCCUGUGCUCAUGACUUAUUUUAUAACUGGAAGUUUGUACCUUUUGAUCCCCUUCACCUAUUUCACCCAUCACUCCACCUCCCUCUCCUCUGGCAACCACCAGCUUGUUCUCUGUACCUAUGAGUCUGUUUCUGUUUUGCUUUGUUUGGUUUUUAGAUUCCACAUACAAGUGUAACAAUAUGGUAUUUGUCUUUCUCUGGCUUAUUUUCCUUAGCAUAAUACCAUC
rnacentral:lncRNA from 1 species